rnacentral:rRNA from 1 species
CUGCUGCCUCCCGUAGGAGUCUGGUCCGUGUCUCAGUACCAGUGUGGGGGACCUUCCUCUCAGAACCCCUACGCAUCGUCGCCACGGUGGGCCGUUACCCCGCCGUCUAGCUAAUGCGCCGCAUGCCCAUCCUCUUCCGAUGAAUCUUUCCUCGAUCUCGGAUGCCCGAAACCGNUAUACGCGGGAUUAGCCUCCCUUUCGGAAGGUUGUCCCCCUGAAGAGGGCAGGUUGCAUACGUGUUACUCACCCGUGCGCCGGUCGCCGG